AACUCUUAACUCCAUUUUCAUCAUUUUCACUCGAAAACUCACUGUCUCUCUCCCUUCAUCUCUCCAGUUUUCUUCGAUCAAUAGAGAAAUUCAAGUGACGAUCUCGAGUUUUCGUCGAAAUCAUUAAUUUCAUUUUGAUUCAGGUAGGAUUCAACUGGUUUCCUCUCUAGUAUCUUCGUCGAAAUCAUAAUUUCAGUAUAUCUUCUUCCUUCACGCCACAUAAAAAGAACACGAACCCUAAAUUUCUUUCGUAAUCAGAAUCAGAAGUAGUUUCAGAAAAGGAUUACCAUUCCGAUCAGAACAAGGUUGCAGUAGUUAAGGGUAAUAUAAUCAAACUGAAUUGAUCAAGUCGGAGUAGUGGUUAACUUAUUCGUCUCUAAUUUACGUUGAUUGAGGUGGAUUGAUGCUGGAUGGCUACAAAUGCGUACCUGAUUGAGCUUUCCUUUCCAUUUUUUAUUUUUUUCAAAUGUUACUGAUAACAUCAUAAAAGUUGUCCAAGGAUGCACAUUUAUGGUCCCCCGGUAAAGAAGUUGAUUCAUGAGAUAUGGCAGUUGCAGCAAUGGAGUGUUCUAGGCGACUUCAGGCCUUUCCAUAAGAAGACCGAAAGAAAAUUCUGCUGCAAGUAGCUGAUGCCUUACAAGAAAAUGGCUGUUAUGUUAUCAAGGUAUCCCACGGGCAAAGGUACUGGGAUCUAAUGUAAGUUAAAGCUUGAUCCAAGAAUAAAAUGAUGCUGAUGUUGCUGCUGCAAAGAAGGCUGGGUAUGACAAGGCACUGAUAUCUUGCUUGGCUCUAAAGCCCCGGAAGGCAAGGCUCCUUAAUUGUUAACAUUUUAAUUUUAAUUCUACAGACCACUUGAAAUGAUUUUUUGUUGAUGAUUUAUAUAGACGACACAUCUUGUUGCUAAA